UACAGAGGUCCCAAGCGUUGUUCGGAUUCACUGGGCGUAAAGGGUGCGUAGGUGGUGGGGUAAGUCUGAUGUGAAAUCUCCGAGCUCAACUCGGAAAUGGCAUUGGAAACUACUUUGCUCGAGGGUUGGAGGGGGGACUGGAAUACUUGGUGUAGCAGUGAAAUGCGUAGAUAUCAAGUGGAACACCAGUGGCGAAGGCGAGUCCCUGGACAACUCCUGACACUGAGGCACGAAAGCUAGGGGAGCAAACAGG
rnacentral:rRNA from 1 species